CCCUUAGAUGUUCUGGGCCGCACGCGCGCUACACUGACGAAGUCAGCGAGCAUGUCCUAUGCCGACAGGUGCGGGGAAUCUUGUCAAACUUCGUCGUGAUGGGGAUUGAUUAUUGAAAUUCUUGAUCAUCAACGAGGAAUUCCUAGUAAGCGCAAGUCAGCAGCUUGCGUUGAUUACGUCCCUGCCCUUUGUACACACCGCCCGUCGCACCUACCGAUUGGAUGGUCCGGUGAAGCCUCGGGAUUGUGGUUCUUGCCGCUUUAUUGUGGCGUGACCGCGAGAACUUGUCUAAACCUUAUCAUCUAGAGGAAGGUGAAGUCGUAACA
rnacentral:rRNA from 1 species